CGUUGAUAGGCAGGGUGUGUAAGUGCUGUGAGGCAUUGAGCUAACCUGUACUAAUUGCCCGUGAGGCUUAACCAU
rfam:Vibrio sp. qd031 contig_19, whole genome shotgun sequence.